rnacentral:rRNA from 1 species
AGAGUUUGAUCAUGGCUCAGAUUGAACGCUGGCGGCAGGCCUAACACAUGCAAGUCGAACGGUAACAGGAAUCAGCUUGCUGAUUCGCUGACGAGUGGCGGACGGGUGAGUAAUGUCUGGGAAACUGCCUGAUGGAGGGGGAUAACUACUGGAAACGGUAGCUAAUACCGCAUAAUGUCGCAAGACCAAAGAGGGGGACCUUCGGGCCUCUUGCCAUCGGAUGUGCCCAGAUGGGAUUAGCUUGUUGGUGGGGUAACGGCUCACCAAGGCGACGAUCCCUAGCUGGUCUGAGAGGAUGACCAGCCACACUGGAACUGAGACACGGUCCAGACUCCUACGGGAGGCAGCAGUGGGGAAUAUUGCACAAUGGGCGCAAGCCUGAUGCAGCCAUGCCGCGUGUAUGAAGAAGGCCUUCGGGUUGUAAAGUACUUUCAGCGGGGAGGAAGGGAGUAAAGUUAAUACCUUUGCUCAUUGACGUUAUCCGCAGAAGAAGCACCGGCUAACUCCGUGCCAGCAGCCGCGGUAAUACGGAGGGUGCAAGCGUUAAUCGGAAUUACUGGGCGUAAAGCGCACGCAGGCGGUUUGUUAAGUCAGAUGUGAAAUCCCCGGGCUCAACCUGGGAACUGCAUCUGAUACUGGCAAGCUUGAGUCUCGUAGAGGGGGGUAGAAUUCCAGGUGUAGCGGUGAAAUGCGUAGAGAUCUGGAGGAAUACCGGUGGCGAAGGCGGCCCCCUGGACGAAGACUGACGCUCAGGUGCGAAAGCGUGGGGAGCAAACAGGAUUAGAUACCCUGGUAGUCCACGCCGUAAACGAUGUCGACUUGGAGGUUGUGCCCUUGAGGCGUGGCUUCCGGAGCUAACGCGUUAAGUCGACCGCCUGGGGAGUACGGCCGCAAGGUUAAAACUCAAAUGAAUUGACGGGGGCCCGCACAAGCGGUGGAGCAUGUGGUUUAAUUCGAUGCAACGCGAAGAACCUUACCUGGUCUUGACAUCCACGGAAGUUUUCAGAGAUGAGAAUGUGCCUUCGGGAACCGUGAGACAGGUGCUGCAUGGCUGUCGUCAGCUCGUGUUGUGAAAUGUUGGGUUAAGUCCCGCAACGAGCGCAACCCUUAUCCUUUGUUGCCAGCGGUCCGGCCGGGAACUCAAAGGAGACUGCCAGUGAUAAACUGGAGGAAGGUGGGGAUGACGUCAAGUCAUCAUGGCCCUUACGACCAGGGCUACACACGUGCUACAAUGGCGCAUACAAAGAGAAGCGACCUCGCGAGAGCAAGCGGACCUCAUAAAGUGCGUCGUAGUCCGGAUUGGAGUCUGCAACUCGACUCCAUGAAGUCGGAAUCGCUAGUAAUCGUGGAUCAGAAUGCCACGGUGAAUACGUUCCCGGGCCUUGUACACACCGCCCGUCACACCAUGGGAGUGGGUUGCAAAAGAAGUAGGUAGCUUAACCUUCGGGAGGGCGCUUACCACUUUGUGAUUCAUGACUGGGGUGAAGUCGUAACAAGGUAACCGUAGGGGAACCUGCGGUUGGAUCACCU